CUGAGCUGGAAGGCAGCCUGUGCUUGGAAUCCAGACGGACGGGCUGUGGCUGGGCUGAGCAAGGGUCACCUUAACCAUCAGAUCCCAUUACCCACUGCACAGGCGAUGCUGUCAGACGUGGAGCGGUCGAUUGAGAAUCGGCGAAAAUACCAAACCAGCCAGGCAGCUACUGAAUCCAAUCUCUGUGGCAGAUGCUGCUGGAGCCAGAAAGUCAGUGGGCGCCAACCGAGGCGGACGGUCCAGAGGUCGGCAUCCGGGCUGGGCCUCUCGCUGUCUGCGGGAUGCUGAGCAAGUUACUUAACCUCUCCGAGCCCUCCUUCCCUCAUCCAUGAGCAGGAGAGAAAACGCUUAAAUUCCAGGAUUGCCAGGAGGCGGGGGCAGGUAGAGCUCCGUGUCAACAAAUAUCCUCUUACUCAUUUUACAUCCCCUUUUUGUCAAGGGGGGAUGGACAGGAGCGGGGACGGGGGCAUUUCAUAAGGCAGCUGAAGGGGUCCCACAGUUUGGAAAGAGGUGGAGACUGCCACUCCCUAGAAGCUGGGCCUGGCCAGGCCUGGUUUGCAAAAAUUGUUCUCAUUUCAGGGCAAAAGAUGAGAGGGCAGAGUAGUCACUAAGGACAGUCUUAAAACCCACGAGCUUCGGGAUUCAUGGACCUGACUGCACAUCUGAAAUUUGGAGACAAGUGUCGCUCGUGUCCUGCCUUGCUCCCCAGUGUCUUAGGCUGAGCUGGGUGAGGAGCGCCUUAAUUUCACCAAUUUAGAGCAAUUUGAGGCAAGUCCCUGAGCCUCAGUUUCUUCAUCUGUAAAAUGGGUGUUAUAACACCUACUUCCCAGAAGCAGUGCAGGGAUGGGUUGCCAUAGUGCCUGUGUCACCUGGCACAGGGCUGACAAAUGACAAAAAAAGGUGAACUGCCUGUCCCCUCUCUUCCCCUGCUGCUGAGUCCAGUCCUCGGUGGGGCACUGUCACAGAGAUGUCACGUUACCCCAGCAAGUCGCUUUCUGCUUGCUCCCUCAGUUUCCCUGGCAGUGGACAGUUCCCCACCAACGACACAAGCCAAGAGGCGGGAUCCAGCAGAGCGCUGAGGGGAAAGGAAAAAGUCAACCCCGAGAAAACCGGUCAGCAUUUAUUCGGAGAACGUUCUUGGUGGAUUUAAAAGGAAUUAGUGUGCCUUGACUCACUCCAGAUGCCACCCGGCUCUAUCUUUAGAAACUUCUAACCGAGGGAAGGUUCCAGGGAUGUGAGCAUCCCUGUUCUCCAAGGUUGACUCUAUAAAUACCCUCCCAGUCGGCCUCGGGAGCUCUGUCCUCCGACCCAGAAAUAGCCCCUUCAGUCAGCAGUCCUGGAAGCAGCCCUUAGCCCGGAGCCCUAAGAAGUGUGGGCACCAAGUGGGGCCCAGGGCCGCCACACGCCGCCUCCCCCACGGCCACGCAUGGCUCACCAUGCUGCUGGGCUUUGCUGCAGAGCCCGGGAACGGGCAGGAAGCAAGCAAACAGAAAAUCCAGUCACUGUCCCGGAGCGUGGGGGACAGAAGCUGGGGGAUGGGGACAGCAAGGCCCUGGCGGGACGGCUGAAUGCUCACUGCUCCUGUGACUGUUCUCGGAGUUUCUGCUCGGCACCCAGCGGCACGCCAGGCAGGGAGGCGCCUUCGAAGGCCCACGGGCCUGACACAGAGGCCGGCGGGCAGUGCUCUCUCCUUCCGGGAGGCCUAGAAACCCCAACACCGUAGUGAUUUGAUUCGGGGAAGUGGAGCCUGACUAGGAAAGGGGGACAUCCUCGGAAAAGCAAGGAAACCGACGUCAUUUCCUCAGGUCUGUUGGUAGCUGCCUCCCGCUUUGCACAUUUCUGCCAACGAGCCCGGAGAGGAGGGCCUGCCGUUAGAAUGAUGCCUGAAGUGCACCAGGCCGGCUCUGUAUUGAAGGUAACCUGGGUGAGCUUGUCUGUGGGGAAGCUAAGUGUGCCUGCUGUACACACGCACACGCACGCACACACACACGCACACACACACACUCUACCCUCACUCAGUCCCCACCUCCUAGAUCUAGCUCCCCACCGCAGAUGUGAAAACCAGCACAUGACCAGGCUGUCAGUGGGCACACGAGGGCUUUUGUUCCCCAGGAUCAACUCCCAGACCACAGUCAAGGUGACUGUGGAGCCCUGUGGCCUCAGCAAGACCCUUCACCUCCAGAUGUCUCUGUGUUUGCCUUGCGACUGGGGGCUCAUCAGUCCAGCAGCUGUGAGCAUCUGAAGAGCUAAUGUUUCUAAAACAGCACAGAGCAGCUGCUCGAUAAAGGACGAAAAGCAAUUGCGAGGCACGAUCUUGGAGACGUCGCGGGUUUCAUACGUGCCUGCAGGUCGGCCCACACACUCAGCUCCCGUCACUAACUCUGCUUCCCCGGGAAAGGCCUUCGGUUCAUGCAGACGACCCAUUCCCAGGCCAGGGCCACCGCACAUGCCUACGGCCACGCGCUUCCCUCGAGGCCCAGGCUCCCGCCCUCUUGGAACUUUGGGGUUCAUUUCGUGACUUGGACCCGCAGACUUGAGCUCCUAUUUGGAGGGGUGGACUGUCAGCUUCGAAACCCGGUGUCACGUUACAGAAAUCACAGGCUUGUUCCUGAGCCACUGCGGGUAGAAUUAAAUAGUCAGCAAGACUGCAGGGUUAAAAGUCAAGAAAGCAAUUUUUUAAAAAACUGAUCUCAACUCAUUCUGUAAUAUUUCCUAUUUACAUUGAAGAAAUGUCAAUUCUUGGCUUCAGGCCUCACGAGAGACCAAGGAUUGAAUGAUGCUUAUGAGACAGAUAUAAAUCUUUGAUAAGACAAUAACCGCAGAGAGGGACAUGCCUGGAAACGUUAAGUGGGUUCGAUUCGGUCACAGCUCUCUCCUGCGGCCCUGACUUGACUCACAAACAUCUGGAUGUCCUGCUCAGUCACGUUCCCUGUAUCUGGUGAGGAGGGUGGCCUGUGUGUGACGCGGGCACUUUGCGUCUGGGCCUCUUGGGCACUGUGGGUCAGAAGUGUGCUAAUUAUUCUUUUAUUUGUACUUUGGUCCCCAAAGCUUAAACGCUCAGUUGGCAUUUGUCUUCGUGCCGGAUGUAGCCGUGGCUGUACCCAAAGGCACCGAUUCUGUCUACAGCUUCCCUGCCCGCACAGCCACGUGCAUCACAGACCAGGUCACCUGCUGAGCAUCCCAGUGGCAUCUAGGAAUCAGGGCAAGAGCCCAGGGCAAGAACUGGACAUAAGGAAGGACUGCCAAGCCUUGGCCAGACUCUGGACCUCUUUGUCAGUUUCUCAAACCGUACCCAGGAUCUCGGGUUUGGGAACGAGACUGGUAAGAAGCCCUACUCUGGGGCAGAACGGGCAAUUGAGACAAGACUUAGGAGUUGGGCAGCGAUUCUGAUGAUGAUGCCUUCAGGCAAAGAACCACGUGGAGGGACACAGGUGGGGGCGGGGGACCUGUGGGUCUAACUCGCAAGAGUCUACAAAUUCAGGUGUCAUCAACCUGUCCAAGUCGUGAGGUUCAACCUGCUGCAAAAUGUCAGAACUGUGAAGUUCAACCACCUUUAUGAUUUAUUGAUGACCACUGAUGGCUGGGACCAAAACACAGAUGGAAGAGAAUAAGUGACCAGUGGAUGGGCUUGUCUAGCGUGAGGCUCAAAAGCACUUCGUUCUUUUUUCUCCCUCCCUGGGAAAGCCAUUAGAUGUCCUUCAGUUUUCUGGUGGGAAGCAGAGAGAGGACUCUGCUGUGACAUGUGUCCUGGCAGUCAGGGCCCAGGCCUCACAAGCCUGAGGUGCCCGGCAUUGGUGGCUGAAGACUUGGACUUUUGAUAGCCAUCAUGCUCCUCACAAUUACAAAUACAUUCCUUCCCCUGCGAACCUGGGAGAACGGGGCCCAGCCCUCCCCACCGCCCAGCUAAUUGCUGAGGGAGCUGCCAGGGUCCUGCCCGGGACAGAAAACAGAGAGUGGGGAGCCCCUCGGGGAAGGCUGGAAGGGGUUCCGAUAAUCGACAGCACAGCCCUCAUCAAUCUCGGAUCCUCAUCGGUCUGUGGCCUAUUAAGCUCUCCCUGUCUGUCAAUAACCCAUUAUUGCUCUCUUGCUGAGCGCUCUGAGGCUAGCUUCCAUUUGGCCAGAGAAAAAUAAUGAUUGUUUGUUUAUUAGUUGGGAGGAGAUGUCCAGCCACAAACGUGCAUUGGGCCAAAGCCAGUUUCUGUCGAGCUCUCCCAUGGCCCAAGCCCUCCCUGCUAGAACCCUGUACUUGUGGAUCCGGAGGCUGAAAUCUGUCCCGAGCAGGUGGCUCAGGGGCGACCAGGAUCUAUGGAUUUUUCCACACAGCCAACAGCACACCGGCAGCCCUGACUCAUUCCUUAGCCACUGCUAGGUAGGUGGGGUGCCGCCAUGCCACAAAAGGUAAUAUGACAAAGGGACCCAGGCUGGUCUGGCCAUGGCCUGGAGCCUUUCCCACUGAGCUCUGGGAGGCCUCGGCUGGAAGCUGCUGGCUGAGAGUCUGGCAACCAUUCGGAGUCAGGGCCACCAGGACUGGGCUGGGCUGGGCGUGAGCAACCACUUCCCGUUUCCCUCUGCUGGCUCUCUGCCCCCAGCCUCUCUCCACCGCCUCCCUCAGCAAGGUCAUACUGACGGGGUGCAAAGCUCAGUUCUGCCACUUAUGAGUGGUGAGAUCUCGGCAAAUUGUUUGACUCCUCUGAGCCUCGAGGGGCUCCUAUAAUAAACAGGAAUCUUGGAACUGUGCCACGGGAUCGACAUGAGACGACAUAUGGUAAGUGGGUGAUCCGAAUCCUGUGCAUACGAGGCCCUCAAUACGGGGUGGCUGUGCCGUUGUUAGUGGGUCUUGUCCUUUCUCCUCCCGGGGCGCGCGCCCUCGUAAGUCCUCACGCUCACCUGCCGGAGGAACUGGUGGCCUGUUCCUGAUCUGCCUGCCCGUGCCUUCGCUUUCCCAGUGGGCAGGGGGCGCCCGCUCCCCAGCUGCCACCUUCCUUGCCGGCCUUCAAGUGAACUUGCCCUUGCCUUUGGGAGAAUUUUUACUGUUAGUCACUGAAAGGAAACAGGAAGGCCCAACCCAGGCUAGCACUCUUCAGGCCCGGGCCCAGGUCUCAAGUCUGACGCUAGCUUGCCGUGUGAUCCCUCAGAGGUCACUUAGCACCCCGGAUCCUCAGCACUCACCUGUCAAAUAGGAGGGCUGUCCUCAACAAGCAUCAAGAGUCUCUGCUGCCCUAGAAGUAGUGUUUCCUGUUAGAAACAGAAGAGGGACGCCCGGGUGGCUCGGUCAGUUGAGCGUCCGACUCUUGGUUUUGGCUCAGGUCAUGAUCUCACGGUUCGUGGGUUCGAGCCCCAUGUUGGGCCCACGAUGACAGUGUGGGGCCUGCUUGGGAUUCUCUCUCUAUCUCUCUCUCUCUCUCUCUCUCUCUCUUUGCACCUCCCCUGCUCACACUCUCUCUCUGUUUCUCAGAAUAAAUACACUUAAAAAAGAAAACAGAAACAGAAGAAACAUCUUACAAUAUCCUCCUCGGUAUGUACUUCUCGUCUAUUCCUUUCCUCUUUUCUUACCCGACUGGCGGAUGUCGACCAUCUUACCAUUGUUCUGAGGACAUUAGCAUCCCUCACCACCUCCAGCAUCUGUGCAUCCUGUUCUGGAGGAUCAGUAGGAUUAAAGCUGAGUCUAGAGGUGGUAACAAACGACCCCGAAUCCGCAUGGUUUACAGCAGCCAAGAGUUCGGUCUUUCUCACACUCACGUUCAUGGGGGGUCUGCAGAGCUCGGUUCCACGUCACCUUCACUCCAGGACCAAGGCUGGCGGACAGCAGUCCCACCCGGCCGAGGAAGAGGCAAUGGUGGGAGCUGUCACGGCGCUUCAGGCGUCUGCUUGGACCCAGCACACGUCAUUUCCACUACAUCUCGCUGCCUGAGGGACCAGCCUGCCUCAGUGCAGCAGAAGUCAGAACCCUCCCUCAGGGAUGGGCCAUGAAUGUCUUGACAAUACGUAAUCUGCCCCAUAAUAAAACCUUACACCUGGGCUUCACAACUCUAGUCCACCCCUCUUGCUCUACAUGUGUGGGGAAGAAAGCCCAGAGACGGGAGGCGAUGUGCCUGACGUCACACAGCAGUCAGUGGAAGACAAGCAUGCGGAUGACCUUCCAGUUCAACGGGAGCAGGACCCGAAUGGACCCCUAGCUCUGUCGUUCUAGGCAAAUCCUUUCCAGCCUGAGCUUUGGCUCGCCUUUCUGGAAUACGGGGUGAUAGUGUCGACUUCCCGGCAGGGACGUUUGGAGGAAUGGGUAAGACUUCAUAAGGUACCACACUCAGUGUCUGACACAGAGGAGCCUCUUAAUACACAUCUGUUCCCGUGUCUUCCCUCCGUGUCAACAGCCCCAAACUCUUUCGCCUCAUCCCCCUACGCUCUCUGCCUCCAAGCCCGCCUCUUCUUCAUUUAGAAGUCGAGAGAAACAGAAAUUUUU